CCUACGGGAGGCAGCAGUGGGGAAUAUUGCACAAUGGGGGAAACCCUGAUGCAGCGACGCCGCGUGAGUGAAGAAGGACUUCGGUAUGUAAAGCUCUAUCAGCAGGGGAGAAAAUGACGGUACCUGAGUAAGAAGCCCCGGCUAACUACGUGCCAGCAGCCGCGGUAAUACGUAGGGGGCAAGGGUUAUCCGGAUUUACUGGGUGUAAAGGGAGCGUAGACGGCAGUGCAAGUCUGGAGUGAAAGGCGGGGGCUCAACCCCCGGACUGCUCUUGAAACUGUACGGCUGGAGUGCAGGAGAGGUAAGUGGAAUUCCUAGUGUAGCGGUGAAAUGCGUAGAUAUUAGGAGGAACACCAGUGGCGAAGGCAGCUUACUGGACUGUAACUGACGUUGAGGCUCGAAAGCGUGGGGAGCAAACAGGAUUAGAUACCCCAGUAGUC
rnacentral:rRNA from 1 species